GGCGGAGAGAGCUGCUCAGAGCCCUAAGAAGUUACACAGUAUGUUCCAGAUCAAGCUAGAUGGUAUCUGUGCAUUUUAAACUUCCUGUUGAAACACUGAAUAAAUGCUUUGCUUCUUGUUAAGGAAAUUUCAAGACUGAGCAGGCAGAAUAUCUAGACAUGGAGGAAGCUAAGGUAAGAAUGGGAGGACUUCAGGAACCUGCCACCACACACUGGCUACUGUAGUUGAGAAGAAACAACAAGCCUCACCAACCAACACCUUCAUACAAGAAGAUUUAAAACUACAAGGAAUAAGUUAUCAGGGUCAGACAGUCUAGGACAGACAGCUCUCAAGUCGUUCCCUGGGAUGCAAUUACAUCUUCUUUAACAACCUUUAAAUCCAGGAAAAGCACCAGUGAAAUAUUUCACAUGAGAGAAAUUUGUAUUCAUAUACAACAUAAAAGUUGUACCAAAGGAAUGAUCAUUUGAGCUUAUGUGUGAACCUUCCCCCUUACACUCAAACCUAAAAAUGACCCCAGGACAACAUGCUGAUAAAUAGAACAUA